AUGGCGCAGGAAAACCUCUGAAAGGUUUGUUUACCGUUACUACGAUUCAAUCUAAGGACUCCUAUUUCUUCGUUUGUUUAUCACUGAUAAAAGAAAUGAAGCUGAAAACUCAAACAGUUAAUGCGGUGUUUUUAUUGGCAUGAUGGCGCAAUCUGGACAUGUCGAAAGUGAGAAUUACUACGACAGACCACCAGCAUCAAGAGACUGGUUACAUCACACAAAUCAGUCACUCACUAGACUUAAAGAUGUUAAAAAGACUUCAAUUUGGCUGAAUGGAGGACCACAUGAGAGAGAAGUAAAUUGCCAGUGUAGCUACAGGAGUAAAAGUAGAGACAGCUUCUUAAGUUUGGAAACUGGGCCUCCUCAGUUACACAUUGACAGCCAAGAGACAGCUAGCAUGAAAGACUUGUCUGUACCUGAAAUAAUGAAACAGUUCCAUGAAAGGCAGAAAUCCAAACUAAAAAGGAGGCCCCAGUCAUCUACUGUGUAUUCAUCCAGGAGUGCAGAGAAGAAGCAAGACUGGCAGAAACCCUCUGAAAACAACUACAGUGCAUUUAUUUCAGUAAAAGGGCAAACAGUGACACCUCAGCAUCGUCCACCUCUGGGGUCCUUGCCACUCAGGGAAACAAAGAAAGAUAAUACUUCUUACAAAGGAUUAGUGUAUCUUGAUCGUCAGCAAGAGGAGCUGGAUCGCAGCUUGGCACCGCAUGACCUUUGGCGAUACUCUGCGGCAUUCUGUGAAGAUGAAGAUUCUGAGAGUACCAAUCCCCCUCCACCACCUCCCAGAGCCUCUCCAGAACCAUCGUCACCAAAACUAAAUUGGCCUGAAGUUUUACAAUCAGCCGAAGAAGCUUACAGUGAGGAAGACGAUGAUGAUGAUUUGGUCGAUGAAUCUCAGGAGACAAGGUCGAUAUCUUCGGCUGGCUCGCGUUCUUUGGUGUUCGCAAUUCCAACAGGAGGUAAUGAAGGUACCGAAAGUGAUGAUGAACAGACUCCGAGUCUCUUAGACACUGGCAGAGGGUCUUCUGAUUAUGUUGCCAGGAGCGAGUCUAUGCUUCAUAAAAUAUGUGAUAAAAGUCAAGCAGAGAGUGCUGUAAUAUCUGAUAUGCUAGUCGACAUGAAAAGCACGAACGAAAAGAUCAGUCAGCUUCGAAUCAGCCCAAGAGAUUUAGAUCUGGAAUUAACCUGUGACGCCACAACCCCUUCAGUUCUUUUGGCAAAGAUGGAAAUAGAAUGCACCGCUGGCACUGAUCAAGAAUCAACGCCACAACAUGAAAUCGAAUACGAAACCAUGUGGGUUGAAGAGCCUCAGGUCUCGAACAGGUUGAAUGCUCUUUCCAACCGAUUUCCCCGAGCCUGUUCAGCAAGAUAUAUGACUCAGCAGAAAACUUCGCGUGUUAGAAAACAACAAAGCGAAAGUUCUCUUGCACUGAAAGGAAAAACAAUGGAAUUCUUCAAUCCGGAGGACUUAGUGGCGAAAAACCUUUCAAGAGACCAACGAAAAAAUCCAAGACAUAAUGACUUUACUGGGGAAGAACAUGAAAUGCUUGAAAUGAGAGAAGACACCGAUCCAGACAAGGUUGUUACAAAACCGCCGUUACCAAAAUGGAAUACCUCAAAAACCAAGAAAAGACAUAAAUUGAAACAGAAACGACAGUCUGGCACUGAAAAUUCAAGUGACAGCAGUAUCCUGGAUCAACCAUCAAAGUCUUCUCUACGAAAGUCAAGCUCUGAAGGCAAUAUCCAUUUGUAUCAGGCAGCAGAUACCAAUUUGUCACCGGGCAGCAAUCUGAAACUCAAAUCUGUAACGUUUAGACGAGAUGUUUUGAGUCAAGUUGAUGACGUUAAAAUUCCCCUCGACUCUUCUCAACUCCCCACUUACUCCAGUGUUGAGGCGGAAAUUGUCGCCAAACCUGCUGUACAAACUUGUGCUUGGUCUCAAAGUUCAGGAGUUGUUAUAAACAAUGGUUUGGAAAUGAAGGAGGCUAACCUACAGGAACAAGAAAUCUCAGCAGUAGAGAUUACCGACAAAGAAUCAAGACUCAGUCAUACUCGAAAAACAGCUCAAAGUUCACGAGCAAAACUUUUGGCCAAAAUGAAAGAACUGCCAGGUGAUGAGGAACUAUGUCCGUGCAGAACAGUUACCAGACCCACUACGGCUUUGAUAACAGAGUUAAGGAACUCGAAAUCUAGAACAAAAGAGACAUCCUUGAAGAAUGAUAAAUUAUUAAAACAUCGUGUUACUAGGCCCAGCUCCGCGCCGCUCAAACGCUCGUCAGGCAACGGAGAUAUAUUGAGACUAGAAAAACCUCACUCACCAGGUAGCAAACCUCGUGCCAUGUCUGCUAAAGGACAGCGAAAAAGGACCGGAUCUGAAGGAGGACAAACCCGCUCCAGGCCUUCUUCAGCCCAUGUUGGCAAGUUAAGCUCCAAAGAUGCUCGUAGGAGCCGUGCCGCUGCUAAAGUUCUCAAAGACGGAUUCUUGUUCAAGGAAAAACCCCCGCCACCAUUACCAGCAGCUUCAAAGGAAAGUCAAAAACGGAGAGAAGAGCAUGGAAGAUCGAAACAAGACAACAACAACAAGAGUCUCACACUGCCGUGGAAUAAGGAAGAAGAAAUUGUAGCCUCGGAAGAAUGCCAUGAGGUCUUCGCGCGCCUGCAGGAGAAAGGAAUUGAUGUUUCCAUGGAUACCAUCAAAAGGUAAAUUAACAUCAGUUUAGCGUAAUUUGAACCUAAUUGACCGCUGACGUCAUUUUCAGUUUUUGACCUGAUCGUAGAUUUUGCUCUUAAUCGAUUAAGAUCAAAUCUCUUCCCCUCAUUUGCAGAACGAUGAUUUUUUUUUUAGAAAAAACUGUUUGCUUCGUAGUUUGGAAGACAUUCCACCCAAGUUUUACUCUGCGUGACUAAACUACAAGUGAGACACAGAAAGAAAACCCAUAGGAUUGAUGGCGCCGGCGAGAAGGGCUGGUGACUACCAAGUGACCGGUUUGAGUUUGAGCUCUAAUCUCCUUAGCAGACCAGAAAAUUGGCUGACAGAAGAACACGCUCGUGUGCAGAUAUGGG